rnacentral:misc_RNA from 1 species
AAGUCGUAACAAGGUAACCGUAGGUGAACCUGCGGUUGGAUCAUUAGAAAAACUUCGGAGCAGAACUUGGCGAGCAUGAAUGUCAUUGCUACUUGCGAGCCUUGUUUUCACGAACCCUGUGUGAACCGUAAUAUUUAUUCCAUCCACGUAAUAAGAAUUUUCUGGUCUAAAGUCUUCUUCAUAUCACAAAGAAUAUGAUAAAAACAACUUUUGGCAACGGAUCUCUUGGCUCUC